UGCCAGCCGCCGCGGUAAUACGGAGGGUGCAAGCGUUAUCCGGAAUCACUAGGUUUAAAGGGUGCGUAGGCCGUUCAGUAAGUCAGUUGUGGAGUUCCCCGGCUUAACCGGUGGGACUGCGAUUGAUACUGUUGGACUUGAAUCAGGUUGAGGUAGGCGGAAUGUGUCAUGUAGCGGUGAAAUGCUUAGAUAUGACACAGAACACCGAUUGCGAAGGCAGCUUACUAAACUGUUACUGACGCUGAGGCACGAAAGCGUGGGGAGCGAACAGGAUUAGAUA
rnacentral:rRNA from 1 species